GACGAACGCUGGCGGCGUGCUUAACACAUGCAAGUCGAACGGAAAGGCCCUGCUUUUGUGGGGUGCUCGCGUGGCGAACGGGUGAGUAACCCGUGAGUAACCUGCCCUUUACUUUGGGCUACCUUCAGGAAACUCGCGCUAAUACCGGUUAGGAGCUCCUGCUGCAUGGUGUGGGUUGGAAAGUUUCGGCGGUUGGCGAUGGACUCGCGGCUUAUCAGCUUGUUGGUGGGGUAGUGGCUUACCAAGGCUUUGACGGGUAGCCGGCCUGAGAGGGUGACCGGCCACAUUGGGACUGAGAUACGGCCCAGACGCCUACGGGAGGCAGCAGUGGGGAAUAUUGCACAAUGGGCGGAAGCCUGAUGCAGCAACGCCGCGUGCGGGAUGACGGCCUUCGGGUUGUAAACCGCUUUCGCCUGUGACGAAGCGUGAGUGACGGUAAUGGGUAAAGAAGCACCGGCUAACUACGUG
rnacentral:rRNA from 1 species